rnacentral:lncRNA from 1 species
GACAUAAGAAAUCAACCCUCUCUCUGCACUUGCUCUCUCACGUUGGUUCCGUAUUUCUGUGUUUGUUUUCGAUUUUGUUUGCAGUAUUUGUUUUGGAAAACUUGGCACUUCAAAUUGGAGCAUAAAAAGGCUCAAAUCUUGUUUGCUGAGGGCUAGAAAUCUGAAGCUAAUUCUCUCUCUCUCUCUCUCUUCAAAUUUCCUAGGUUGGGUUUGGUAUUUUUGAUGGGUAUGUGAUUUCUGGGCCAUUCAAUAUUCUAUGUAUUUGAAAAUUGAAUUAGUUAGACAAAGAAUUGAUGAGUGAUGUUGGUUCUUGUCCGGCCAGAUUUAGUGCCAUUGUUAAAUUAAUCCUGUGAAGUGCAUUAUAUAAUGAGAUAUAUGCACUGUUAAGGAACUCAUAGAGGACUAGUUCUCAUACAUGUGAUCUCUUAUGAUUCAGAUAGCUAUUUUAUCCUUUACACUUUUUGAUUAAUAAGACAUAUUGCACAUAUUUAAAUGCCAAAUAUAUUUUAUGGGCCUAAACUGCUACUUACUUGGAUACAUAUAUAUAUUUAUUGUUUAUAUGUAUAUGAGAGAAAGAAACACUGUACUGGAUAGGACAACAAGAAUACUAUGUGCAGUUCAUCUCGUCUAUACAUUUUCCAAGGACCGUCUGAGUUGAUGCCACCAGAAAAAGGCUUGAAAGUUUAUGAGAGUACAAGAUGCGUGAAGAUAUUUUAGAUCAGCAGGCAUCACUUCAACGAGCAAGCCUUGAAGCUUCUCUUGCUGAUGGCAUCUCUUGGGGUAUGGGAGAGGAUGCCAUUAUAGAAGAAGCUGAGUUUUGGACUUGAGGAUGAUGGUGAGGAAGUAACUUGGCAAACAUACAAAGGACAGCUUACAGAAAGGCAGAUAAAAACA